rnacentral:rRNA from 1 species
AACAGGAUUAGAUACCCUGGUAGUCCACGCUGUAAACGAUGUCGACUUGGAGGUUGUGCCCUUGAGGCGUGGCUUCCGGAGCUAACGCGUUAAGUCGACCGCCUGGGGAGUACGGCCGCAAGGUUAAAACUCAAAUGAAUUGACGGGGGCCCGCACAAGCGGUGGAGCAUGUGGUUUAAUUCGAUGCAACGCGAAGAACCUUACCUACUCUUGACAUCCAGAGAAUUUGCUAGAGAUAGCUUAGUGCCUUCGGGAACUCUGAGACAGGUGCUGCAUGGCUGUCGUCAGCUCGUGUUGUGAAAUGUUGGGUUAAGUCCCGCAACGAGCGCAACCCUUAUCCUUUGUUACCAGCACGUAAUGGUGGGAGCUCAAAGGAGACUGCCGGUGAUAAACCGGAGGAAGGUGGGGAUGACGUCAAGUCAUCAUGGCCCUUACGAGUAGGGCUACACACGUGCUACAAUGGCAUAUACAAAGAGAAGCGAACUCGCGAGAGCAAGCGGACCUCAUAAAGUAUGUCGUAGUCCGGAUUGGAGUCUGCAACUCGACUCCAUGAAGUCGGAAUCGCUAGUAAUCGUAGAUCAGAAUGCUACGGUGAAUACGUUCCCGGGCCUUGUACACACCGCCCGUCACACCAUGGGAGUGGGUUGCAAAAGAAGUAGGUAGCUUAACCUUCGGGAGGGCGCUUACCACUUUGUGAUUCAUGACUGGGGUGAAGUCGUAACAAGGUAACC